rfam:Clostridium cellulovorans 743B, complete genome.
GUUACCUUUAACUCAAGUCCAGAGAGGCUGAGAAGGUGUUUGGAAAUAGUUUAACAAUAGGGAAUUUCUAUGCCUUCAACUUUAUGGUGAAGGCAUUUUUUUU